GUUUGAUCAUGGCUCAGAAUCAACGCUGGCGGCGUGCCUCAGACAUGCAAGUCGAACGCGAAAGUUUCCUUCGGGAGACAAGUAGAGUGGCGCACGGGUGAGUAACACGUAGGUAAUCUACCUUUGGAUGGGGAAUAACAAUCGGAAACGAUUGCUAAUACCGCAUAAUGCAGCGGCACCUAAUGGUGACAGUUGUUAAAGCGGGGGAUCGAAAGACCUCGCGUCUAAAGAGGAGCCUGCGGCGGAUUAGCUAGUUGGUAAGGUAAUGGCUUACCAAGGCUACGAUCCGUAACCGGCCUGAGAGGGCGGUCGGUCACACUGACACUGACAUACGGGUCAGACUCCUACGGGAGGCAGCAGUCGGGAACUUUGGGCAAUGGGCGAAAGCCUGACCCAGCAACGCCGCGUGAAGGAUGAAAUCCCUCGGGAUGUAAACUUCGCAAGAACGGGAAGAAUAAGUAGGGGACAAUACCCCCUAUGAUGACGGUACCGUUUGUAAGCUCCGGCUAACUCCGUGCCAGCAGCCGCGGUAAUACGGGGGGAGCAAGCGUUGUUCGGAUUUACUGGGCGUAAAGGGCGCGUAGGCGGUCAGCACAAGUUAGUUGUGAAAUCUCCGAGCUUAACUCGGAAAGGUCAACUGAUACUGUGCGACUAGAGUGCGGA
rnacentral:rRNA from 1 species